AACGCUGGCGGCGUGCCUAACACAUGCAAGUCGCACGAGAAAGGGGCUUCGGCCCUGAGUAAAGUGGCGCACGGGUGAGUAACACGUGAAUGAUCUACCUCCGAGUGGGGAAUAACUGAGGGAAACCUUAGCUAAUACCGCAUAACACUUACGAGUCAAAGCAGCAAUGCGCUUGGAGAGGAGUUCGCGGCAGAUUAGCUAGUUGGCGGGGUAAUGGCCCACCAAGGCGAUGAUCUGUAUCCGGCCUGAGAGGGCGCACGGACACACUGGAACUGAAACACGGUCCAGACUCCUACGGGAGGCAGCAGUGGGGAAUUUUGCGCAAUGGGGGAAACCCUGACGCAGCAACGCCGCGUGGAGGAUGAAGUCUCUUGGGACGUAAACUCCUUUCGAUAGGGACGAUAAUGACGGUACAUAUAGAAGAAGGCCCCGGC
rnacentral:rRNA from 1 species